AUAAACUGAAUUUAAUCGUUAGUAUGUGAAAUUAAAAGAGUAAUCAUAUAAUUUUGCUUUUUGUAAGCGUAACAGUGUUUAUGUGUUAAGAAAAAGUCUAAAAGAUAAAGUAAGAAAAAAUAGUUUAGAAAUUACAAUAAAGCGUAAUCGUUAAUUAUUUUUAUUAAUCGUGAUUUGUUACACUUUGUCGUUACAUUCUGUUCAAUUUGUACAAAAAAUGGAAAAGAAUGAAUAUUUUGAACGUAUAGGGUCUCCAGAUAAAAAUGUGAGGACCGGUAAGGCAACAAGCUUUUAUAUAAAUAAUGAUAUUUUUGAAAAAAAUAAAAAAUAUAGUUUAACAUGUCUAAAAAAAAUAAAAAAAUUACCAUAUAAUAAUAAUUUAUGUAAAGUACAUAAUACGAAUGGACAUGGCAACAAUAGUAGUGGUAAUAACUGCGUCAACAGAAAUAACAGCAACAGCAACAGCAACAGCAACAGCAACAGCAACAGCAACAGAAACAGCAACAGAAACAGCAACGGAAACAGCAGUAACGGUAAUGGUAAUAACUACGUAAGCAGAAACAUAAACAGAAACAGAAACAGUACCUAUUUUAGGAGGUCUACAAAACAAAUAGAAAACUGGGAUGUAAUGUCAAACGUAUCAAAAUAUUCAUCAGAUAAUAACAAAGAAACUGAACAAAAAAACAUUUUAAUUUGUUUAGGAAAUAAUGAUUAUGGUCAGUUAGGAAUAAAAGAAAAUAAACAUAUUGGAUUAAUCGAUUUUAGUACUAUUACGAUUCAUGAUAAGAAGAGUGAAUGUAAUGAUGGUAAAUGGUAUAGUACUAUACAUCGUAGUAAUAAUUAUUUAAUUAAUGGUAAUAAUAAAAGUAGUAAAAAAUAUAAUUGUUUAUUGAAAGAAUUAAAAAAAAGAGGAAAAAAAAAAAAAAAUUCACUAAUAUAUACUAAGCGUUCUAGUCAUUCAUUGUGUUAUAAUGAAAUGUAUAACCAAAUAUUAACAAAAUUGCCAGAAGCAUUUAUUUUAUCUACUAUAGUCAAAAAUGUAAGAGAUGGUAAAAAAAAAAGUAAUGUUAAUGAUAGUGUUUAUGUUGAUUUAAAAAGAGAUAGUUAUAGUUGUAGUAGAACAAAUGAUAGUACUAAAACAGAUAACUGUAACGACAAUAAAAUGUAUGACAAUAUAAAAAGUGAUAGUUCUAUCAACAUUCAAUCAGAUAGCAUUGUUACGUAUAAUAGUGUCAAUGAACAGGAUAAAAUCAGAAAUAUAAACAAAAAGUUAGAAAAAACGAAUAGGUUAGGUAUAGAACAACAUAGGAAACACCGAAUAAACAAUUAUAUGAAAAGAAAUAAAUACAAAAGAAGUAUUUUAAUUAAAAAAAAUGAAAAAAAUGAAAAAAAUGAAAAUAAUGAAAAAAAUGAAAAUAAUGAAAAAAAU
rnacentral:lncRNA from 1 species